rnacentral:rRNA from 1 species
ACCUGACUGCUAUCGGAUUGAUACUAAGCCAUGCGAGUCAUUGUAGCAAUACAAGGCAUACGGCUCAGUAACGCGUAGUCAACCUAACCUAUGGACGGGAAUAACCUCGGGAAACUGAGAAUAAUGCCCGAUAGAACAUUAUGCCUGGAAUGGUUUAUGUUCCAAAUGAUUUAUCGCCAUAGGAUGGGACUGCGGCCUACCAGUUUGUUGGUGAGGUAAUGGCCCACCAAGACUAUUACAGGUACGGGCUCUGAGAGGAGUAGCCCGGAGAUGGGUACUGAGACACGGACCCAGGCCCUAUGGGGCGCAGCAGGCGAGAAAACUUUGCAAUGUGCGAAAGCACGACAAGGUUAAUCCGAGUGAUUUCUGCUAAAGAGAUCUUUUGUUAGUUCUAGAGACACUAACGAAUAAGGGGUGGGCAAGUUCUGGUGUCAGCCGCCGCGGUAAAACCAGCACCUCAAGUGGUCAGGAUGAUUAUUGGGCCUAAAGCAUCCGUAGCCGGCUCUGUAAGUUUUCGGUUAAAUCUGUACGCUCAACGUACAGGCUGCCGGGAAUACUGCAGAACUAGGGAGUGGGAGAGGUAGACGGUACUCGGUAGGAAGUGGUAAAAUGCUUUGAUCUAUCGAUGACCACCUGUGGCGAAGGCGGUCUACCAGAACACGUCCGACGGUGAGGGAUGAAAGCUGGGGGAGCAAACCGGAUUAGAUACCCGGGUAGUCCCAGCUGUAAACUAUGCAAACUCAGUGAUGCAUUGGCUUGUGGCCAAUGCAGUGCUGCAGGGAAGCCGUUAAGUUUGCCGCCUGGGAAGUACGUACGCAAGUAUGAAACUUAAAGGAAUUGGCGGGGGAGCACCACAAGGGGUGAAGCCUGCGGUUC